AUACCCAGUGGCAAACAACAGUUACAUUACUCCUGCUGAACCCAAAACCUUACUACACUUCGUAUCUUACUAAAACAAAUUCUCUUUUGACCGCUUUAAAACGGACAGCACGCUCAGUACACACAGUCAAAAGGGCUACCCGCCACCCAGCCCUUUCCUUCCUUCGUCUUCUUCUCUGCAAAAGAAAAAACGCCAAACUUAUAAUAAUCAAAGCUACAAUAUUAAUCUUCCCUUAUACUUAUUCUCUUUCUUUCUUGUUUCUCAUUCUUUUCUCUCUCCUUAUAAAAUGGCUGACUUAGAAGUGCCUUUGCUGCUGCUGCAAUCGCCGCUCUCCGAUAACAAGCCCACGCGUGUUGCUUCUCUCGACGUCUUUCGCGGCCUCUGCGUCUUUCUAAUGAUGAUUGUGGAUUAUCUGGGAUCGAUUUUUCCGAUCAUUGCUCAUUCUCCAUGGAAUGGCCUUCGCUUGGCGGAUUUUGUGAUGCCUUUCUUUCUUUUCAUAGCCGGAGUUUCUCUUGCACUUGUUUAUAAGAAAGUAUCAGACAGAGUAGAUGCUACAUGGAAGGCAGUACUUAAGGCAGCAAAAUUGUUUUUCUUGGGUGUUUUUCUUCAAGGUGGUUAUUUUCAUGGGAUAAAUUCAUUGGCUUAUGGUGUUGACAUCGAAAGAAUACGUUGGCUUGGCAUUCUGCAGAGAAUAUCUAUUGGCUACAUUGUUGCGGCUUUAUGUGAGAUUUGGCUUUCAUCUCGACCGAUAAGAGAAAUAGGUUUCUUCAAGCCUUAUUAUUGGCAUUGGGUUUUGGCAUUUUCAUUGUGUGCAAUUUAUACGGGAUUAUUACACGGUCUCUACGUUCCAGAUUGGCAAUUUGAAAUCUCCAAUUCAACUUCUUCUGUUCUUCCAAACAAUGGCAGUUAUGUUUACUUGGUGAGCUGCUCUGUAAGAGGCGAUCUUGGACCUGCUUGUAAUUCAGCUGGAAUGAUCGAUCGCUAUGUUCUUGGUAUUGAUCAUCUCUAUACAAAACCCGUCUAUAGAAAUCUGAAGGAAUGCAAUAUGACAAAUGGCCAAGUUUCAGAGAAUUCACCUUCAUGGUGUCAUGCUCCUUAUGAUCCUGAAGGUCUAAUAAGUUCCUUGACGGCUGCAGUUACCUGCAUUAUUGGACUUCAAUUCGGCCAUGUCCUUGCUCACGUAAAGGACCACAAAGGGCGGGUGGAAUGUUGGUCUUUCUUCUCAUUUUCACUUCUUCUACUUGGAUCAUCCCUCGCCUUCGUAGGCAUCCCCGUGAAUAAAUCUCUCUAUACAAUUAGUUAUAUGCUUAUUACUUCUGCUUUGGCAGGAAUCACAUUCUCAGUUUUGUACUUGGUGGUAGAUGUAUAUGGUUACAGAUGGGUGUCAUUACCGUUGGAGUGGAUGGGAAGGCAUUCCUUGAGUAUCUUUGUCCUUCUAACAUCUAACUUAAUUAUUAUUGCAAUUCAAGGAUUCUACUGGUCUAAGCCUGAAAACAACAUAAUUCACCAGAUUGUCGCAUCCUUCGUGCACAGAUGAUACAUAUGGUCAUUGGGUCGAAUUACAUGGUUAGAGAUUUUGAAUCUUGCUUUUAAGAUAGGGUUUACAGAUUCAAGUGGCAGGACAAAUUCAAGCUUGAGUUAAUGUUCAAAUUAACACUCUCCUGAGGCCACUAAGAGGUUCAGCGAACACAAGGUCGCGAAGCAAUCCAAAUUCCGCAAUUGUCCAGUGUUUUUGCAUGAAAUGCGGCUCUCAGCUGUCAAGGCUUGUGCCUUGUUCUUGACAAGAGUUAUAACAUGCUCUAGACAAUAUUGUAGUCUUAUUCAAUUUUAAAUCAAUCAAGGGAAGCAAUGAAACAAUUUUAUGCAAAUUAUAUUACACUUUCCAAUUUA